AUGGUUAAGGGGAGAAGGUCCAAGAGACGGAGGUGCCCGGUAGCUAACCUCACCGAUGACCUCAUCGUUGAGAUCCUCUCUCGCCUCCCUGCCAGAUCGGUCUGCCGCUUCAAGUGCGUGUCCACGACAUGGCGGGACCUCAUCUCGCACCCCGUGAACCGUAUGAAGCUUCCCCAGACCCUGGCUGGCUUCUUCACGAAGCACGAUAGUGAAACUGUGCCAUGGUCAGUUCCCCGCUUCACCAAUGUCUCUGGCACUGGCAGAGGCCUCCCGUUGGUCUCCCCUUUGCUUGACUUCCUGCCAGUCCACAAACGCAUUUUUCUCUUGGACAGCUGCAAUGGCCUUCUUCUCUGCAGGUGUUACGGAACCCAACUUAGUACCGGGGAAUGGGAUUUGACAGAUUACCAUCACUUUGUGUGUAAUCCCGCCACAAAGGAGUGGGUUGCACUACCGGGCAAAUGGCAGUGUUCACGUCUGGGUUUUAAUCCAACCGUGUCACCCCACUUCUACGUGUUUGAGUUCUUCAGAGACUAUGGGCACUUAGCCCCCAUGGUCAUUGGUGAGGUGUAUUCAUCUGAAACAGGAGGAUGGGUUCGUGAGGAGAAUGAAGUGGACAAUGAUUUUAGCUUUCCCCAUAGGUUGCCAGCUGUCUUCUUCAACGGUUGUAUGCAUUAUCUCACCAACAAGGCUUCUAUAGCCGUGGUGGACACCGGGGGGAAAGCUUGCCGAAACAUACCUGUCCCUGUCCCUGGCGAGCAGGAGUUCGGUUUCAUUCAGCUGUCCCAAGGACGUUUGCAUUAUGCCAAUUUUGAGGCAGACCAUGAAGACAAGGUGGUUCGACUAGUGGCUUAUGUUCUUGAGGACUACGACAGGCAACGAUGGACAUUGAAGCAUACCGCUGAAGCUCCAUAUAUACUUGGAUGGCCAAGUGGUUUAUAUGAACCUGGAUGGAAUAAUUCUAUUAAUCUCGCGGAGGAGUUUGAGUGGGUUGCAGUUCAUCCAGACUGUAACAUGAUCUUCUACACUCUUGAGUCGGAUAAAAUAUUGAUGUCCUACGAUAUGGAUCGUCGGCAUGUCCAAGAGAUAUUCACUCUUGGAGCCAGCACUCAGGAGACAUAUCUUCCGUAUGUGCCAUUGUUCUCGGAGUUACAAGCUUUGCACAUAUGA
rnacentral:rRNA from 1 species